CCCGUCACACCAUGAGAGCUGGGAACACCCGAAGCCCGUAGCCUAACCUGCAAAGGAGGGCGCGGUCGAAGGUGGGCUUAGUAAUUGGGUGAAGUCGUAACAAGGUAAC
rnacentral:rRNA from 1 species